UAUAUACAUUUUUUCCGUUAGUUUUCAUGGUCAAAAUGAGAGAUCAGGUGGUCGAUCUUAAAAUAAAUCAAUAUUGAAUUUAUUAUAGAGCGUUAAAAUUUUGAAGCCAGGGGGCGGGACUACUUGAUUGACAGUCCGGUCUGGAAUGAUUGACAGGUCCUAUGGAGGAGGCAGCAGAGACUCUGCUCUCCUCGUUUGGAUUAAUUCUGAUAUAAUAACUGUUGGUUUAUUUAUCGGUAGAGCAGCAGAACAUUUUCCACAGACAGUUUUCCUGCCUGUUGGCUUGUUUUAACCAGUUUUCUGCCUUCGGCUGAUUCUACCAGCAGACACUGAAAGGACUCUGAUAGUUCGAGUGAAAGUAGCAGUUCCUCCUUAAGGUCAGAGAUUGCAGCAUCUGAGGGCCUCUUCAAAAGGAGACGUAGUUGAUGAAGACGUUCUGGAGCAGGACCAGAAAGACCACGACCAAGCAGCCUUGAGAUCUUAGGCAGCGUCUCCCUCAGGUCCCUCUCUAUCUCCCUACACAUCCACCAACCACUGGAACACAUCUCCAAAGUUCUGCCGGGCCAGCUCAGCUUCCCCUCAGAAGAAGUGCUGCCACCUGCCAGAUGAAGGAGCCUUUUGAGAGGCAGCUGGCAUCGUGAUUGGACUGUACUUUGGUCUGUUCCAAUCCAGCUUCAACUCCAGAGACGGCAGGCGGGACGAGUCAACGGAGGCCUGGUGGAUGAAGGCAUGCAGCUGAGUACAAUCCAGAAAACAACAGAGGAGGAGUGUAGCAGCCCAGAGCCAGAACAAACAAAAUGUCAUAGUA